UGGCGGCGUGCUUAACACAUGCAAGUCGAACGGAAAGGCCCUGCUUUUGUGGGGUGCUCGAGUGGCGAACGGGUGAGUAACACGUGAGUAACCUGCCCUUGACUUUGGGAUAACUUCAGGAAACUGGGGCUAAUACCGGAUAGGAGCUCCUGCUGCAUGGUGGGGGUUGGAAAGUUUCGGCGGUUGGGGAUGGACUCGCGGCUUAUCAGCUUGUUGGUGGGGUAGUGGCUUACCAAGGCUUUGACGGGUAGCCGGCCUGAGAGGGUGACCGGCCACAUUGGGACUGAGAUACGGCCCAGACUCCUACGGGAGGCAGCAGUGGGGAAUAUUGCACAAUGGGCGGAAGCCUGAUGCAGCAACGCCGCGUGCGGGAUGACGGCCUUCGGGUUGUAAACCGCUUUCGCCUGUGACGAAGCGUGAGUGACGGUAAUGGGUAAAGAAGCACCGGCUAACUACGUGCCAGCAGCCGCGGUGAUACGUAGGGUGCGAGCGUUGUCCGGAUUUAUUGGGCGUAAAGGGCUCGUAGGUGGUUGAUCGCGUCGGAAGUGUAAUCUUGGGGCUUAACCCUGAGCGUGCUUUCGAUACGGGUUGACUUGAGGAAGGUAGGGGAGAAUGGAAUUCCUUGUGGAGCGGUGGAAUGCGCAGAUAUCAGGAGGAACACCAGUGGCGAAGGCGGUUCUCUGGGCCUUUCCUGACGCUGAGGAGCGAAAGCGUGGGGAGCGAACAGGCUUAGAUACCCUGGUAGUCCACGCUGUAAACGGUGGGUACUAGGUGUGGGGUCCAUUCCACGGGUUCCGUGCCGUAGCUAACGCUUUAAGUACCCCGCCUGGGGAGUACGGCCGCAAGGCUAAAACUCAAAGGAAUUGACGGGGCCCCGCACAAGCGGCGGAGCAUGCGGAUUAAUUCGAUGCAACGCGUAGAACCUUACCUGGGUUUGACAUGGAUCGGGAGUGCUCAGAGAUGGGUGUGCCUCUUUUGGGGUCGGUUCACAGGUGGUGCAUGCCUGUCGUCAGCUCGUGUCGUGAGAUGUUGGGUUAAGUCCCGCAACGAGCGCAACCCUUGUUCACUGUUGCCAGCACGUUAUGGUGGGGACUCAGUGGAGACCGCCGGGGUCAACUCGGAGGAAGGUGGGGAUGACGUCAAGUCCUCAUGCCCCUUAUGUCCAGGGCUUCACGCAUGCUACAAUGGCUGGUACAGAGAGUGGCGAGCCUGUGAGGGUGAGCGAAUCUCGGAAAGCCGGUCUCAGUUCGGAUUGGGGUCUGCAACUCGACCUCAUGAAGUCGGAGUCGCUAGUAAUCGCAGAUCAGCAACGCUGCGGUGAAUACGUUCCCGGGGCUUGUACACACCGCCCGUCAAGUCAUGAAAGUUGGUAACACCCGAAGCCGGUGGCCUAACCGUUGUGGGGGAGCCGUCGAAGGUGGGACUGGUGAUUAGGACUAAGU
rnacentral:rRNA from 1 species